rnacentral:rRNA from 1 species
GUGAAAUUCUUGGACCGUCGCAAGACGGACAGAAGCGAAAGCAUUUGCCAAAAACGUUUUCAUUGAUCAAGAACGAAAGUUAGAGGUUCGAAGGCGAUCAGAUACCGCCCUAGUUCUAACCAUAAACGAUGCCAGCUAGCGAUCCGCCGACGUUCCUCCGAUGACUCGGCGGGCAGCUUCCGGGAAACCAAAGCUUUUGGGUUCCGGGGGAAGUAUGGUUGCAAAGCUGAAACUUAAAGGAAUUGACGGAAGGGCACCACCAGGAGUGGAGCCUGCGGCUUAAUUUGACUCAACACGGGAAACCUCACCAGGCCCGGACACCGGAAGGAUUGACAGAUUGAGAGCUCUUUCUUGAUUCGGUGGGUGGUGGUGCAUGGCCGU